rnacentral:rRNA from 1 species
CAAGGAGUUCGACGUGCGCGCGAGUCUGAGGGCUGGCGAAACCCCGAGGCGCAGCGAAAGCGAGAGAUCGCCUUAGCUACCGCGAUCCCCCCUCUUCGGCGGGGGGCGCAGCGGUGCCCGGUCCUCCUCCCCCUGGAGAGGGCCGCGGUACGAGCGCGUGCGUCGAGACCCGAAAGAUGGUGAACUAUGCCCGGAGAGGACGAAGGCCUGGAGAAAUCCAGGUGGAGGUUCGCCGCGUCUCUGACGUGCAAAUCGACCGUCUCAUCCGGGUAUAGGGGCGAUAGACCUAUCGAACCGUCUGGUAGCUGGUUCCCUCCGAAGUUUCCCUCAGGAUAGCUGGCGUCGUCGUGCAUUCGGGAGCGGUCGAGAGAAUGAUUAGAGUGUCAUCGGGGGAAUACGUCUUCCCUCGUCCUAUUUUCAAACUGCGACCGUUCCCAGCGCGGGACCGAGGGCGGGGACGGGGCGUCUCCGGAAGCGGCG